CGGAGAGGUCCGGGUUGGCUUUGGGGAAUUGGGAAGUAGACGAGGUUAAUUGAGAAAAAUUGUGGGGGAGGAAGAGGCGGCCCGGCUGACUGCUGGGGCAGGAGGACGAGGAGCACAGCCCUGGGACAGCCGUGUCCCCCCACCUCCCUACGUGCACUUCCUCCUUCUGACCACAGGGGCCAGGAAGGCCCCCGAGUUUGGAGAUUUGCCACGGGGUCCGAAAUGGGGCUGAGCGGCGGCCCGGGAGCUUCGGCGCAGGUGAACUGGUCCGCCCGGAUUCCUGGGGAGACCCCGCGCGGGCGGUCCCAGCCCCGAGGGGCGGGAUUCCCACGGCUCCCACCCUCCGCGGCCACGCCCCGGCCCUCGAGGCGUCCUGUGCUUCCCGGGUCCGGCCGGCAGGUGGCAGCAUCGCCCAACCCGGGAUUUCCCGGGAGCGCGGGACGCUGGGCUGGGACCUGGGACUUGGGGCUGGGUCUCCCACACUCCCCCCCAAACCUCCACCCCCCCCUCACCCCUCGGGAGCUGGCUGAUGGGCCGGGUGGGGUGCCGUCUCGGGGGUGAUAGGCGCAGGAUGAGAGCCAGACGCCCACACACGGAUGAGACCUGUGGAAACAGCGGGAGCUGGAGAGGUGAAGCCCGGACCCCUGGGGAGAGGGCGCCAUGGACAUGGUGGGUGGGGUGCUGCUCUGGGCCUGGGGAAAGGGGAGGGUCCGGGACACGCUCAGUCCUGCAGUUGUGAGCCGUCUCCUGCUGGGUCUCAAAUCUGAUUCUGCCCCUGGAAGCGAUGCCCAGGUUCGUGUGAAGGACAGCCGGCCCCCUUUUCUCGUCCUCGCACCACUGUCCUUUAUCUCUGUUUCUCAUCUCUCCCAGUCCUGUUAUCUCUGCUCAGUGUUUACGCUUCUUGUCUGCUCCCCAUUCCUCCCAGUCCCUCUUCCUGUUUUAGUCUCCACCCGGUUUCUCUCCAUUUCUCUGUGUCCCCUGUUUCCCAUGUGUUUCUCCUUUCUUCCUUAUUCUGUCUCAGAUGAGGAGUCUAGUUUUCUCUCUCCGUUUCCAUUGACUUCCUGUGUCUCUAUAUGUGUUUUUUCUCACCAACUUUUUGGUCUCUCUCUGCCAGUAUAUCUUUCCCUGGUGUCUCUCUGUCUUCUCUGUCUCUCUCUCUCUCUCUCUCUCUCUCUCCCUCUCCCUCUCCCUCCUCUUUCCCUGUCUCUCUUUCUCAUCAUCUCUUGUCCCUUUUUGGCCCCUAAGGACAGAAUCUUCUAGUCUCCUGGUCUAAGUGGAAUCAGGGUCUGGCCCUACAGAAUGACUUCUCUGUUCUUUCUUGGAGACGCUGAGCUUGCAGAAGGGAGUGUACAUGGGGUGGAGGCACCUCUUCCCUCAUGCCCCCGCAGUUGGCUCUGUACCCAGCCUGCCCCUCUGCUGAGGGGGGCCUAGUCCAGAGUGCCCAUCCUGCUGUCUCCUUGGUGAAGUCAUUGCCAACUUGGACUUCUAAGGCCUUCCCACCCUGCCCUGGCCUCACUGCAUCAGCACUCAAGGUUGGGUGAGGGGGUAUCUCCAUCACACCUGCUGCCACUCUGCCCAGGCCCAGAGCCCUACCGAGGCGUGGCCCUUAGAGGAGGGGAAGGUAGAUCUGGCAACGCUACCCACAUCCCUGAAAUGUCAUAGAGCAGGCACCUGAGAAGAGCUGCUCCAGCCGCUGGCUCACAUCUCCGCAGUGGGAAAGUAAGGCCCAUGGGGAGGGGGCCAGAGGGCCUCUGGACCCUGCCUCUGGGUCCCCAGCUUUUUCAUGACACAGAACGGCCCUUCUAUGCUCCUUCCUGCAAAUAGGGAGAGGAAGGGCCUGAGGUGGGUGGUCUCAGCCCAGGCGAGAACACUAACCCUUGUUGUCAGCAUCCACCAUGGCUCCCAGGGCCCCAGCAUUCUUAAUGGGUGAGGUCGGGUGGGGGCGGGGGCACAGUGGGACCCCAGACAGAGCAGACAGGAGGCUGUUCUUGUGUAGAGGCAGGAGGGUCGUGGACAGAGCCGGCAUCUUCUGUUCAAGGCUUAAUCUGGCAGUGGGAGGGGAGUGGGUGCAAGCGUGCACAUGUGUGCUCAAGGCGUGCAAGGGGCAGCGAGGCCCAGAGACCUCAUGCAGUCAGUGGGUCCCUCUAGAUUCCACACCAAUUCCGUCCGGGAUUUCCCAAGAGCACAAAGUCCAAAUGUCUUCAUACACGCUCGCCACCACCCUGGCCCUUUCACUAAAGAACGAGCUGAUUGUGCCUCCUGCAAGGGCCCAGCUGGAAGGGCCUGGGAGGUCAGCUAGUCCACCAAAGGAACCAACUGGAGCUCAGAGGGGUGAGGAGGCCAAGUCACAUGGGACACUGGGGCUGAGUCAGGACCAGAACCACACGGGUCUCAAGACCCUACACUCAGAGGCAGCCUCAGGAGGCAGCUGCUGCCCCGGACGGAAGAAUCCUGCCUGGGGACCUGGUGAAGCCUGACUGAGCCCAGCCCAGGCCCUGGGUGACGGGGAGGAGCCAGGCCAAGUUCUGUUCCUCUCUGCCUGCUCCCCACCGUACUGUGGUGGAUACUCAUAUCCAUAAUGGCUUAUGGCUGUGGGCUGGGAUCUUUCUUUUCGAAGCCCACAGAACAUUCUGCUCUAGCCCAGCUCUGCCUGCAGGGACGGUGUUCUGUUGUGUUGCUAAGUGUGCCAGUUACUAUGGGGUGCUGUGUGACCUUAGUCAAGAAACUUAACGUCUCUAAACUCAUCUGUGAACGAUGGUGGGGGGGUGGAUCACAUAGGGUCAUAAUAAGGAUGAAAUAAGCCCCUCGGUGUCUGGAAUACAGCAAUGGGAAAUAAAUGUUAGUUUAAUAACGACAUGCACUAAAUGUUCUAUUGCUGGCAAAAGAAAGAGGCCCACAGCUCCCUGUCUUCAUUUCACAUAGAGGCAGAGUGAGGCCACAAGGAAUUAAGGGUUUGCUUCCUCCUGAGAACGGCUCUCCCCAGAAUGCUGGCUCCCUAUCGCCCUCUGCUGUCCAUCCCGUGUUCUGCAUCCGACAAGGGCCAGGUCAGACAGGGCUGGUGACCUACUUCAGAGGGUGUUGGUAUUGCCCACUCCUCCUAGGAGGCCACAGGAGGCCGGAUGUGACAGUGGUGCUGGGACCAGACAUUUGAUAAAUUUCCUCUAUUUCUGGUUUGUCCCCCCCUUCUCCUCCCCCACUGCCUGGGUUGGCCUCAUGGUGGGUACCCGCCUGUCCCUCAGGCUGAGCACUCAGGGGGACUGGGACUCUGCUUGUCACGGGUGUGCCUAUUGUCACUGCCCCCAGGCAGUGUGGCUCCCCAGGGCCAUCACAAGCAUCUUCCUAAGGCCUCCAGCCUAGGCUCCCCAUUGCCUACUCUCUUGCUCCCUAAUUUCCAGAGACUCCCCGACUUCUGCCUGAACAAAGUCCCAUCUCAGGGAGGCCCAGCCCCGACCUGGCCUGGCAGUGUGCUCCUCUGCCCUGCCCGCAUGUCCUCCAGCCACACACCUGACCCUUUCCUGCUCCCCUCUUUCCUGAGCUUGGGGGACUUCCACCCCCCCCCCCCAGAACACAAGUCCCCAGACCCCUCCCUGAAACCUAACAAAUUCUCACCCCAUCUUCAAAGCUCAGCUCUAAUACCCCCUCCUCCCAAAAGCCUUCCAGGACCUGGAUCUUCCUGCAAGAAAUGACUCUUCCCUCCCUGCUCACCCCCACCCAGGCCUUCUCUCUCUCCCUAGAUGUGUGCACGUCCUGCUGUUCCCACCCGGCUGCGGGGGCUGGCCCGGCUCUGAUUCAGCGCUCAUUUCCCCACGGUGCUUUGUUCCGAGUAAACACUGGCUCUGUUGUCACUGAGCUGAAGCUGGUUGGGGACCUCCUGAGGUCAGGGGCCAGAUCUCUCCAGGGAAUGAAUUUAGGGAAUGAAUUCCUGAAG